CGAAGUUAUGAUAGGCUACUGAUAGUGUCUGUUACCUUAACAGGCAAGGAGUGUGCUGGCCGCGGUUGGUUCAAGCCCCGUGCACAGUUUGGUUGCGCAGUAGAAGCAAAGAAGGGGCAGAUGCUCACGUCCGAGGUUACCGGGAAGGGUUAACUCUUUGUUGUGGGGCUGGCGCAGUAAACUCUUACUUUUCUGGUUCUCUUCCUAAAAGGGGAAACAUCUCUGCCAGCUUAAGGAGGGAACGACUUCAGGGGUUGUGUCUAAGAACGGUCCCAUUCCUCAACAGAAAGCGCUUUUCCUACUCCGAAAUAAGAAAAUGCUGGCCUGGUUACUCUCUCAGUUUCUAAGUCAAGUUUAAAUAUACCUUCUCCACAACUCCACCCGGAAUAUGCAAAGCUACGAUAAUAGAUUUUUUUAAGGAAGUCUAUGUUCUCAAACACAAGGUCUUGGAAUAAAGGCCUUCCUGUGGCUCCAGGAGUGGACUUUGUAAAUUGUGUACUUUGCCCCUGCCUUUUUGCUGUAACUCUUCGUGCCAUAUCUCUUCUAUUUAUUAGCCCUCUGCCCUUUACAAAGCAAGAUCCAGAUCUAAAACUACGAAGCUUAUUAGUUGGGAUGGGGCGGGGUUGGGGGGUGUCUAUUUUCUAACAUGUAUUUUUAGUUGAGCUCAGAUAAACUGCAAAUUUCUAUCAUCAAACCAAGCAGAAAUUAUUCCUCCAGUAACUAUACAUAACAAUAAAGUGGGGUGUUUUUCCCCCCCUAGUUAUCUUCUGGAACCUUCUUCCCUUUUUCUCUCAUCCUCACCUUCCAAUUUAGAAAUAACCUCCCAUUCGAUUCAGUGACUCACAGAAAAUCCAUAAAAGGAAAGUGGGAAAGCCAAAAUAACUCCUCCAGAGACGCCUGAAUCAUUUCACUGAAGGAAAAACCACGCACUGACCACGAUAAGAUGGAAGUGAAGACGGAAGGCCCAAGCUAACAUCCCACGUGAGGCGAAUGUGCAGACAGGAAGGUACCUGCUGAGGAUGCAGCAUCCCAGCAUCCCUUUACACAGCUUUUGAAUGCUUCGCCAGCAGCCCCCUCCUCACUAGCCUUGGCGGUGUGCCGUGGUACCAGUUUUACGGCAAGUCGGAAGGCAAUGAGUGUCCUAGCAGAUAGGAAACAAUGACGUCAUUGGAGGGCACGGCCAUUAUUAUGGUACUUUGGGUAAUAACGGCUUUGCACAGCCAGUGACCAGGUGCCAUAAGGAACAUAGAAUUAGGCCAGUCUCACGACGGGGACUCGACAUCUAAGUUUAGGGGCUCAGACUGCUAUCACAAAGAAACACAGCAUUUCCGUUCUUCAGAAGAUGAGGCCAACCUGAAGCCAACAACAGCCACACUUGAGCCAGCCUCUUCUCAACGCACAUACAGGUGAUGGACACAAUUGUUGAGGAGAUGAGAACUACGUGCAUGGUGCUUACCCACUCUCACCUUCCUCGGGAUUGAAAUAGCAUCUACUUGGCUUGCUUGGGAUACAGCUAGAACUCACAUUUUGAGAGUCACUGGAGCUGUGGCUGGCAUACUGUAGGUAACUGGCAAGUGACUGGCGUGAUGCGAUUUAGUUGAACAGACAAUCAGAAGCUACCAGGAACCGACUUAUAUGGACAAACUGACAUCUAGUGGUGUGUUUUUUAUAACAUGGGCCAAAAGUAUAGUUAAUUGCUGACUUGAAACUUAGUUUGGGGGAAUAAGUAGACAGCAACAGAACGCCUGCUUUUCCAUAAGGAACAAGAUUUAACUCUAUUCAGGGAUCUUCAAACAUGGCUGUGUAUGUGAAUGAUUUGUGAAGAGGACAUUGUGGGACACAACUUCAAUCUCAGCACUCCAGGGGCAGCACAGGUAGACCUCUGUCAGUCCCAGGCCAGCCCGUUCUACAGAGCAAGCUUCAGGCUAGCUGAGGCUACAUAGUGAGCAUAGUGAGACCCUUCUAAUUAGAGAGAAAUAUGCUACUGGUAGAUUCCGAUUUAACUUGCCAGAGGUAUAGCUCAGCCUCUCUCUGUCUCUGCUUCUCUCUCUCUCUCUCUCUCUCUCUCUCUCUCUCUCUCUCUCUCUCUCUCUCGGUUUUAAUUUUCUUCUACCAGUGACAUUUUUAAAAGUAAUUUUAAUAUGUAACCAGAAGCUGGCCAUGGCGGUGAUACCUGUGUUUCCAAUGCUUGGGGAAAAAACAUCAAGUUCAAGGUCAGUCUAAACUACAGGAGACCCUAUCUCUACACACACACACACACACACACACACACACACACACACGCAUGCACACAUGCAUAUGCGCACACAUGCAUACAUCACAAACACAUCAAACACACACACAAACCAUACACACACAUUCACAGACACAUCAAACACAUACUCAAACAUACAUGGAGUCAGGUUGAGAAGCACUGCAGUGGCCCAUGAGGUAACUACUUAUUAUUAAUUAUAUAAUCAAAGAAAGUAAAACCCAGAGGGUAAGCUAAUUGCUGCAAAGUCACAGAGUUGGUGCUGAGACUUUGAGCUUUAGUCUCGUAUAUCCCCUGAUCUGAUGCUGACUUUGCAGAGGUUUUUAGAAGUCUGGUAUUCUCCGAACAGCUUCCGCAUAUAGGAGUCUAAGGGACAGUGAGGAUUUGCCCAUACUACGAACUGAAGUUCUGCAAACAGGUUGGGGUUGGUGGGGUUGUACAGUCUCAGGAAGGCACCAACUAUCUGAUCCUCUCUCUAAACUCAUGCGUUUAAGCUUCAUGAGUUUUAAACUCUACUGCUCAACUGGUGGAUAAAUUAGCAGUGUGAGGUUAAUUGUGAAUCAAAUUAAUACAAGAUAAACAUUAAACUUUUGUAGAUGUGUUUGAGAGAGGAGAGAGGGGGAGAGGGAAGGGAGAGGGAGGGGAAGAGGGAGAGAGAGAGGGAGAGAGAGAGAGAGAGAUCAGGAAUAUAUUAGAAACAACACAGAUUAAAAAUCUGUUAACCAUCCACUACUGAGGCCCAUGAAAGAGUAGACUAUGCUACCACUGAGCUUUCUGAUCCCACUUAUCUGCCUUAUCUGCUAGGCAUUGGUUGUUGGGGGAGGGGGACAAAAGGGUCCAAGUCCUGAGGUAUGAGAACUUUGACUGCCUUGGCCUCCCACAGAGAUCCUCAGAGGAUGGAUGAUUUUGAAAGGACACAGGAGCAUGGAUCUGUUCCUAGCCCAUUCAGUACAAAUGAAAGCUCAUUGCAGACACGGGAAAUGAACAAGGCCUUCCUGGGUCAGGAAGGGAGGCUGCAUCUCUUAAUCACACGUAGGGACCAGGCCAAAGCCUGCCAACGUCACACUCAAGUAAUUGCUAGGACAAUUUCCCUGAAUUUUAUGGUGAAUGUCCCUUGGCAGCAUGUAAGAACAGGUUGAGGAAACCAAGGUUCAGCCAAGUGAAUAGUAGUCUAGAAACUCAUCCUGUGAAAAGGCUAUGGUAGGGGCCAUAAACUCAGCCAGAGCACUGAACUUGGCCCACAGAUAUUUUUGGCUUAGUGCUAUCUGGCAGUGUUUUCAAUAUUUUUCAAUUAAUUGUCAACAUUCAGCUCUAGGAAAAUUUUAUGCAAAAACUCUGAUUUUUUAUCAUGAAAUAUAGUGGGGUGUGUGUGUGUGUGUGUGUGUGUGUGUGUGUGUGUGUGUGUGUGUAUCUAAGCAUUGAAUCUAGUGCUUCAUACAUGCUAGGCAAGACCUCUGCUACUGACCUAUGCCCACCACCCCUUAAUAUAGACUUUUUGUUUAUGGCUUAGAACUCACUAUGUUCUAUUGGAUGAGGUUGGGCUCAGGUAGCUGAGGAGGACCUUAAACUUCUGAUCUCGUUUACUCAGUGCUGGAGAUCAAACCCAGGGCUUCACGUGCACUAGUCAACCCCUCUGCUGACCGAGCUUCAUCCUCAGCCUCUCUUCUGCUUUCUCACAUAUCCCAUGGUGUCUUAGUUAAGGUUUUAUUGCUAGGAAGACACACCAUGACCACGAUUCUUUUUUUUUUUUUUUAAAGAUUUUAUUCAUUUAUUAUAUGUAAGUACACUGUAGCUGUCUUCAGACACACCAGAGGAGGGCAUCAGAUCUCAUUACAGAUGGUUGUGAGCCACCAUGUGGUUGCUGGGACUUGAACUCAGGACCUCUGGAAGAGCAGUCGGUGCUCUUAACCACUGAGCCAUUUCUCCAGCCCAUGACCACGAUUCUUACAAAGGACAUUUAACUGGGGCUGGCUUACAGUUUCAGAGGUUCAGUCCGUUACCAUCUUGGCGGGGAGCAGCAUGCAGUCAGACAUGGUGCUGGAGAAAAAAGCUGAGAGCUCUACAUCUUGAUCUGAAGCAGCAGAAGGGGACUGUGCCACACUGGGCGGAGCUUGAGCGUGGGAGACCUCAAAGCCUCUCCCUACAGUGUCACACUUCCUGCCACAAGGCCACGCCUGCUCCAACAACAUGGUGACUACUCGUGCAUGUAUGUAGUAAAUGUUUACUGAUCGUGUAGCUCAGUAAGAAGCAAUGGAGGAGCCUGGUGGCGGAAGUGCAGGCCUUUAAUUCUAGCGCUUGGAAGGCAGAGGCAGAUAAGUGUCUCUGUGUUCAGUGUCAGGCUGCUUCACAGAGCAAGUUCCAGGACAGCCAGUGCUACACAGAGAAGUCCUGUCUCGAACCCACCUCUGGCCCUCCCUACAACAAUAAAGGUGGGGGCUGUGAGAUGGCUCAGUUGGUAAAGGUGCUUGCUGCCAAGCCUGAUCACCUAAAUUUGAUCCCUGGAACUCAUGGUUGGGAGGAGAGAACUGACUCCCAAAAGGUGUCCUCUGACCAUCGCAGUUGUGUCAUUACACUUGUGUGUGCACUCACACACGCAUGCAUGCAUGCACGCACGCAUGCACAAAAAUUAAAUAAUAAUAAGAAAUAGUGGGUGAGGGUUGGGGAUUUAGCUCAGUGGUAGAGCGCUUGCCUAGCAAGCGGAAGGCCCUGGGUUCGGUCCCCAGCUCCGAAAAAAAAGAAAAAAGAAAAAAAAAAAAAAAGAAAUAGUGGGUAAGACUGGGAGGAUGAAAUGGUACAACAGUAGACUGUGGGAAGGAGAAAGCGCAUGGUAGCACGUGUGCUUCCUUGGCCCCUAGCCCUUUUCCAUUGAUCUGCUCUCUUGAAGUGAUUCUCUGAGAAACGCUAACUUAGAUGGAGUGUAUAAAUUAAGAGAAAUGCAAAUCUCGGUUGAAAAUGGACAUUUUUUUCCGAGACCCGGAUUAAGAAAAAGAACAGCUGUUUUUUGUUUUUGUUUGUUUCUUCCUUUGCUGUUUGUGGCUGUUGCUGUUUGCUUGCUGGGCCAAACUGGAGCUUCUUUUUAUGUCAGGACAGCAAUAAGCCACUCACCUAGUCAAACAGCGAAUUAAUGAAAUGGAAGAAAGGAGAGACCCACCGAAUUGAAAGGAAACAGCGGAAGAGUUCUAUAAGAAAAGAAAAUCAGCCAGCAAGACCGCUGUGAAUGGCUGUGGCAUUCCGUUCUAUUUUCUUUACAACGUUUUGUUAUGAAGAGAUAAGCAAAACCACAGGGUUAGUUAGGCAAAGGGACAGUAGCUCCUCUUUUGUAAGAUACAAGCAAACAACUCUGGAAGCCAGAGGGGAGAAAGAAGCUGCCUUUGUCUUCGCCAGGCACAUUCCUCCCCUAUCCUUUUCUGACAUCUUUCAACCCUUACCUGGAACAUUCUCUCCCCUCCUUUUACUUUCGCUCUUGGGUCUGAUCAAAGCCUCCAGACUCUCAAGAUCUCUGAUCCCCCCCUCCCCUCCUCCCCAGAUCUCCUUAGCGCAUCUGCUGCGUGCUACACAAGUCCCACUAGAUUGAGCAUAUUGUCCUGAAAGACUCUUGUAUGUGUGCUUUAUAAAACCCCUUGUAAACUCCUCGAGAACAAGAGCCAUUUCUCCUGCUCCCUGCCUCAUCUCCCAUAGUGCUGAUGGCCUAAGAGACCCUCUGUAUGGCCUUGCUGCCUCACUGACUGGAGAGUUCAGUUCCGAUCUCAAGCUCUUGCCAGCAACGCAAAGGCUACACAAUAAAGUCCUUUCACUAUUAAAUGACAGAUUCAAAGAUAGAGGGGCUGAGAAAGUACACACACAGAAUCCUUCAUUGUCUCAAGUCUUUCCUGGGAGUCAGCGUCUGGAAUUCUCAGGUUAGAUAUGGAAAUAACUUUGAUAUACUGUAUGUGAUGGCUAAUCUGGGGGGUUAGCAUUCCAUUUAGAUGGACUGCAGAAAAUAGUAGAUAAAAACACGGAACUGGGGCGUUAGUCAGCUUUUCAUUAGCAUGCUCAGUGUCUGGAGUUUAACCUCAGCACUAGAAAAAUAACAAUACGUGUUUGAGUUACAUCAAAGGAUCAAAGAAAGGAAGUAUUUUCCUGUAUGCAACUAAGUGGUGUUUCCCAAAUCUCUCCCACUGUCAUGGUUCAUAGUCAAGAGUUCACAGGGGAAAAUAUUGUUUUUGUAUUUUAAUGGUAACAGUGCUAUCAGAAGAGAAAAUGUGUUGGGGAAGCAGGUUGUGUCACACCACCCACCCUCCCUUCCUCCCUCCCUCCCUCCCUCCCUUCCUUCCUUCCUUCCUUCCUUCCUUCCUUCCUUCCUUCCCCACUCCCUUCACCCCUCUCCUUCUCACCUUUCUUUCUGAGCCAGGGCCCUAGCAGGCCUUGAACUUACAGAGAUCCGCCACCAUGCCUAGCCAUAUUGUACCAUUUCCAUUGCUAAAUGUUUCAGUGCUUUUUAGGGUAUGUAUAGCAAUCAGUAUUUAGGAAAAAGAGUUAUAUUCACACCUCUUUUGAAUUCUGAGUCUCUCCUUUUCCAGGGCUACUUUGGGUAUCAAGUGCACUUAGAGAACACUAUUUUCUGAUUGAUACAGAUUUCAGCUGACCCUCCAGGCUUAACUCCUUUUUUUUUUUUUUUUUUUAAUUUAUUGUGUUCUGCCUGCAUGUUGCCUGCACUGUAGAAGAGGCCACCAGAUCUCAUUAUAGAUGAAUAUGAGCUAUCACGUGGUUGCUGGGAACUGAACUCAGUAGGUCUGGGAGAGCAGCCAGUGCUCCUAACCUCUGAGCCAUUUCUCCAACCCCCAUCCCUAAAUCGUUGAAGCACUAUGUGUACUGAAAACGUGAUAAUUGCUAAACGGCCUUGGUAAGUUCCAGAGUCGUGUCCUAGGGAUCCAAACGUGUUCACAGCCAGCAGUGUGAAUGGGUUGUGUUGGCUCGUUAUUUUUAUUUUUAUUUUUUGUAAUGUUCCUGUGAUAUUAUCCUUGUAUUGCCCCAUGGGCUGCAUAAAACGAAAUUGGACAUGAAGACAUAUACAUUCACACAUACAUACGUACUACAUACUACACACACACACACACACACACACACACACACACACACACACACACACACUGAGUUUAAGGCCAGCUAGGACUGCGUUUUGAGGCCCUGGCUCGGAAGGAAAGGUGGGGAGGAGAGGAAUGAAGGGAGUGCGGAAGGAAGGCAGGAAGAGAUGUUUCUUUCCUAAAUAAACAAGAUUCUACUUUGUGUCUCAGAGAUCAAUUUGUACAUCUUGUGAAAAAUUCUGAGUCUUGUACUUCUGGUAAAAUUUAUAGGUCUGACAUGUAUUUAGGACAUAACCUUUUAGGGAUCUGGAGAAAUACACGCAGUCACUUAGUGUUCUUUAGUCCUGUGUAAACUGCACAAGAAAUCAAGUAGAAAGCCAGGCCUAAUGGCACAGAUCCAUAAUCCCAGCUAUUAGGGAAGCCAAAAGAAAAAUGUGCCUGGAUUACAGAGCAAGGUUACAGCCCAGAAACCGAGAAAACGUGGUCUCAAAACUUCAAAAAAGUUAAAAAGGAUCAGGUAUGGGGGUGCACAACUUUCCUAGUGUUUGGGAGUUAGAGACAGGCAGAUCUCUAUGAGAUUGAGGCCAGCCAAGUCUACAGAGAGAAUUCAAGACCAGCCAUGGCUUCAUAGUAAGACCCCAUCUUAGAUAGACAGACAGACAGGUAGACAGACAGUCUAGGCUCGAGGUUAGUAUUAGAGAACUGUCCUCUAAUGUGUGAGGCCCUUUAUUGAAUAUCUAGUAACUUCCCCUCCCUCCACAAGAAAGGGGAACUAGAGUAAUCAGGCAUGGUGGCACACGUCUGUAGUGCCAUACUCUAGAGGCUGAGGCAGGAGGAUUGCAAUUUUGUAUUCAGCCGGGACUAUAUAGUAAAUUCUAGACCAGCUUAGGCUACAUGAGACCUGGUUUUAAAAUAAUAAGGUGGGCAUGGUGGCACACCCUUCUAUCCCAGCGGAGGCAGGUGGGUCUCUGAGUUUGAGGCCAGCCUGGUCUACAUAGAGAAGCCCCAUUAAAAAAAAUAAAUAAAGGGGUUGGGGAUUUAGCUCAGUGGUAGAGCGCUUGCCUAGGAAGCGCAAGGCCCAGGGUUCGGUCCCCAGCUCCGAAAAAAAAGAAAAGAAAAAAAAAUAGCAAAGUUGAUUGAUUGAUUGACUGAUAAGUAAGUAAAGUUGAUUGAUAAGUAAGUACUUUAUCUUUGUAAACAUACUGAGAACAUCGUUGAGUAUCAGUGGAAAUGACAGAACAUGCCUUGUCCACUUCUGCCAGUGUCAAAGAUCAGAAGAGUCAUUCAGCCUAGACAGGAGCUGGCUUCCCC